rnacentral:tRNA from 6 species
AGGGGUAUAGCUCAACUGGCAGAGCGCUGGUCUCCAAAACCAGAGGUUGGGGGUUCGAUUCCCUCUGCCCCUGCCA